CCUACGGGUGGCAGCAGUGGGGGAUAUUGGACAAUGGGGGAAACCCUGAUCCAGCGACGCCGCGUGAGUGAAGAAGUAUUUCGGUAUGUAAAGCUCUGUCAGCAGGGAAGAAAGAAAUGACGGUACCUGACCAAGAAGCCACGGCUAACUACGUGCCAGCAGCCGCGGUAAUACGUAGGUGGCAAGCGUUGUCCGGAAUUACUGGGUGUAAAGGGAGCGUAGGCGGGAAAGCAAGUUGAAUGUUUAAGGUACGGGCUCAACCUGUACAAGCGUUCAAAACUGUUUUUCUUGAGUGGAGUAGAGGUAAGCGGAAUUCCUAGUGUAGCGGUGAAAUGCGUAAAUAUUAGGAGGAACACCAGUGGCGAAGGCGGCUUACUGGGCUUUAACUGACGCUGAGGCUCGAAAGCGUGGGUAGCAAACAGGAUUAGAUACCCUGGUAGUC
rnacentral:rRNA from 1 species